CCAUCCACUUAAGAAGUGAGUUGCUCCUCCUGGUCUUCCACCAUGAUUGUGAGGCCUUCUCAGCUAUGCGGAAGUCUAUCCUAUAGUUGGCUGCCUGGCUUCAGAGCUUUUUUUGAACUUGGAAGACUUCAAGCCCCAACUGAGGAAUCCUUGAUGCUCUGUUGUUUUGUCUUGCUAAAAUGUACAAGAAACUUGCAGAGCUCUAUCCUUCAGGCUUAAAAUCAUCCCAGAUCGGGCAUUCUGAGGAGAGGAACUGAUCCAUUACUGAUAUCUACCAUCUAUUCUCCAUUGAGCCUGCUGAGAGGAAUUACAAAGAUCAAGAUGAAUUCAGUGAAGUUUCCCAUAGGACUGUUCAAAGAUCUCCAGGCCUGCCAUUCAUGCAUUCAUGUGAGAGAGACACUUUGGGCCUAAGAAAUGAAGGCCAAUUCAUGUGGAGUCAGUCCUCUUAUAACCACAGUAGGAUAGAACUUGUUUCUGAAACCUUCAGAAGGACUAAGCCCUAGGCAAACAGCCCCAAUGAAGUCAGCUCU